UACGGAGGAUGCGAGCGUUAUCCGGAUUCAUUGGGUUUAAAGGGUGCGUAGGCGGACUGUCAAGUCAGCGGUAAAAUUGAGAGGCUCAACCUCUUCCCGCCGUUGAAACUGGUGGUCUUGAGUGGAUGAGAAGUACGCGGAAUGCGUGGUGUAGCGGUGAAAUGCAUAGAUAUCACGCAGAACUCCGAUUGCGAAGGCAGCGUACCGGCAUCCAACUGACGCUGAGGCACGAAAGCGUGGGGAUCAAACAGG
rnacentral:rRNA from 1 species